AAGAUAAGGAACGAUAUAACUAGAUUUGAGCAAGGCGAAGAAGAGAGUUUGUAUGACACGUGGGAACGUAUGAAAGGAUAUACAAGAGCUUGUCCUCACCAUGGGAU
rnacentral:snoRNA from 1 species